GAUGAACGCUGGCGGCGUGCCUAAUACAUGCAAGUCGAACGGACUGUGGUAAUUAUGAUUGAAGAGCUUGCUCGGAGAGAUUAAUUACAAUGCAGUCAGUGGCGAACGGGUGAGUAACACGUGGGAAACCUACCUCUUAGCAGGGGAUAACAUUUGGAAACAGAUGCUAAUACCGUAUAACAAUUAGAACCGCAUGGUUCAAGUUUAAAGAUGGUUCUGCUAUCACUAAGAGAUGGUCCCGCGGCGUAUUAGCUAGAUGGUGAGUAAUGGCUCACCAUGGCAAUGAUACGUAGCCGAGUUGAGAGACUGAUCGGCCACAUUGGGACUGAGACACGGCCCAAACUCCUACGGGAGGCAGCAGUAGGGAAGUCUUCCA
rnacentral:rRNA from 1 species